rnacentral:rRNA from 1 species
GAUGAACGCUGGCGGCGUGCUUAACACAUGCAAGUCGAACGGUGAAGGCGGAGCUUGCUCUGCUGGAUCAGUGGCGAACGGGUGAGUAACACGUGAGCAAUCUGCCCCUGACUCUGGGAUAAGCGCUGGAAACGGCGUCUAAUACUGGAUACGAGCUGCGAAGGCAUCUUCAGCAGCUGGAAAGAACUUCGGUCAGGGAUGAGCUCGCGGCCUAUCAGCUUGUUGGUGAGGUAACGGCUCACCAAGGCGUCGACGGGUAGCCGGCCUGAGAGGGUGACCGGCCACACUGGGACUGAGACACGGCCCAGACUCCUACGGGAGGCAGCAGUGGGGAAUAUUGCACAAUGGGCGAAAGCCUGAUGCAGCAACGCCGCGUGAGGGACGACGGCCUUCGGGUUGUAAACCGCUUUUAGCAGGGAAGAAGCGAAAGUGACGGUACCGGCAGAAAAAGCGCCGGCUAACUACGUG